CCUACGGGAGGCAGCAGUGGGGAAUAUUGGGCAAUGGGCGCAAGCCUGACCCAGCAACGCCGCGUGAAGGAAGAAGGCUUUCGGGUUGUAAACUUCUUUUCUCAGGGACGAAGAAAGUGACGGUACCUGAGUAAUAAGCCUCGGCUAACUACGUGCCAGAAGCCGCGGUAAUACGUAGGUGGCAAGCGUUAUCCGGAUUUAUUGGGUGUAAAGGGCGUGUAGGCGGGAGCGCAAGUCAGAUGUGAAAACUCAGGGCUCAACCCUGAGACUGCAUUUGAAACUGUGUUUCUUGAGUGCUGGAGAGGCAGGCGGAAUUCGGGGUGUAGCGGUGAAAUGCGUAGAUAUACGGAGGAACACCAGUGGCGAAGGCGGAUUGCUGGACAGUAACUGACGCUGAGGCGCGAAAGCGUGGGGAGCAAACAGGAUUAGAUACCCCAGUAGUC
rnacentral:rRNA from 1 species